UGCUGAUUCCUUUAUAAUCCU
rnacentral:piRNA from 1 species